AGAACCGUGAAGAUCCCGGCGAUGGAAAAAAGGCGAAACUGCUCCGCGUAGGCUGCUCGGAGUGGCAUCGCACCUUGUUCGAGUCCGAAGAAGUUCCCGCUUCUCUAAGCCGGCUGAAGGGAUGCGAGUCUCCUCUUGUCCCAACGGGACUGUGUCCUGACACCGAGUGGACUCCGCCCCAAGAGUGCGAGCGUCCUGAGCGUUCAGGGCAUCCUGAGCCGCGGAAGGCAUCCGGCCACACCCCGCUCUUUAACCGCCAACGCCAGCCCAGGUGGCCAGCCUCAGAAUGGACUGUGAGCCUGUGUGUUAUGCAUCUCUAGUUGUAGAGACAAAAGGACAAAGAUGGAACCCACUAAGGAUGCUCCCGGCUGAAUGAAUUGUUGUUCUCUGGCUUACACAAAGUCAAGCGAAUGAUCUUCCCAUGUUAUGUAAUAUAGCAACGGCCUGCUUACCUUACUCCUUUAAUCUACGUUAUUCUGGAAAGUAACACUUGAAACAAAAAGUAGAUACAUUCUACUGGGAAUGUGACCCUCAGAGAAGGAAAGAAAGACCGAGGGGUUGAACCUGAACACAUGAAGACAAUCCAAGGGAACCUGCUUGGUACUGCCACAUCAGAGAAGCCUCGGGUAAGGAGACUGGAUGCUUGGAAUCAUGGAUACUCAGAGCACUGUUAACAAAGAGCAGAGUCCAGUCUUCCAGAGUCAUGACCUGAAUCCAAAGUUGAAAAGAUCUGAGCAGUGUAUAAACAGCCUGUCAUAACCUGCAUAAUACAUUUUUAGUCCUGAAUAAAUCUAUUCACACUUCUUUCU
ensembl:lincRNA Dubr Dppa2 upstream binding RNA